UAAACGGAUUCUUUAGAAUCCAUUAAAACCUAUUUGUACACUUUA
rfam:Cajanus cajan chromosome 2, whole genome shotgun sequence.